CGUCCGGCGACCGGCGCACGGGUGAGUAACACGUAUGCAACCUGCCCUCUUCAGGGGACGAACCUUCCGAAGGGAGGCUAAUCCCGCGUAUAUCGGUUUCGGGCAUCCGAGAUCGAGGAAAGAUUCAUCGGAAGAGGAUGGGCAUGCGGCGCAUUAGCUAGACGGCGGGGUAACGGCCCACCGUGGCGACGAUGCGUAGGGGUUCUGAGAGGAAGGUCCCCCACACUGGUACUGAGACACGGACCAGACUCCUACGGAAGGCAGCAG
rnacentral:rRNA from 1 species